GAACUUUCUCGGCCUUUUGGCUAAGAUAAAGUGCAUUAUCUACUUUUGUAUGUGGGCCAUGUCCACUUUAAUUUUAAAUUUAUUUUUAUAGGGAGGGUCCACUUUAAUUUAUAAUUUAUUUUUUAUGGAGAGGGCCCUCGCGUGUCGUAUAGCCAUUGCACUAUACAUUAAAUAUGUAGUGUUA
rnacentral:snRNA from 1 species